UGUUUAAGCUGAGCUUGCUGCGGUCUCCU
rnacentral:piRNA from 1 species